UUGUCUAUUUUAUAACAAGAAUAUUAGAAAUGUGUUUCUAUUACUCAUUUGUUUGUUUUAAUCGAUUACCAUUUGGUUCUACUUUGACAAUUUCCUAUCUAUGAAUAAAUAGAAUCUUCAUUUAUGAAAGGGCCGGUUUAAGUUUAUUUUUGCACUGUUC